GAGGGUAUAGCUCAAGUGGUAGAGCUCACGUUUGACGUGAAUGAGGUCCUGGGUUUAAUCCCCAGUACCUCCU
rnacentral:tRNA from 1 species